AUUGAACGCUGGCGGCAUGCCUUACACAUGCAAGUCGAACGGCAGCACGGGAGCAAUCCUGGUGGCGAGUGGCGAACGGGUGAGUAAUAUAUCGGAACGUGCCCAGUCGUGGGGAUAACGUAGCGAAAGCUACGCUAAUACCGCAUACGAUCUAUGGAUGAAAGCGGGGGAUCGCAAGACCUCGCGCGAUUGGAGCGGCCGAUAUCAGAUUAGGUAGUUGGUGAGGUAAAGGCUCACCAAGCCAACGAUCUGUAGCUGGUCUGAGAGGACGACCAGCCACACUGGAACUGAGACACGGUCCAGGACUCCUACGGGAGGCAGCAGUGGGAAUUUUGGACAAUGGACGCAAGUCUGAUCCAGCCAUUCCGCGUGCAGGAUGAAGGCCCGUCGGGUUGUAAACUGCUUUGUACGGAACGAAAGGUUUGU
rnacentral:rRNA from 1 species